UGGGGGAUAUUGCACAAUGGGCGAAAGCCUGAUGCAGCGACGCCGCGUGGGGGAUGAAGGCUUUCGGGUUGUAAACCUCUUUCGCUAUCGAACAAGGCCCGCUUAGGGUGGGUUGAGGGUAGGUGGAGAAGAAGCGCCGGCUAACUACGUGCCAGCAGCCGCGGUAAUACGUAGGGCGCGAGCGUUGUCCGGAAUUAUUGGGCGUAAAGGGCUUGUAGGCGGCUUGUUGCGCCUGCUGUGAAAACGCGGGGCUUAACUUCGCGCGUGCAGUGGGUACGGGCAGGCUUGAGUGUGGUAGGGGGGACUGGAAUUCCAGGUGUAGCGGUGGAAUGCGCAGAUAUCUGGAGGGACCCCGAUGGCGAAGGCAGGUCACUGGGCCAUUACUGACGCUGAGGAGCGAAAGCAUGGGUAGCGAACAGG
rnacentral:rRNA from 1 species